UGGCGGCCGAGCCGGCUGCGCUGCGAAGCGAUCCGUAUUCCGUGCCCACUGAGUAAUUCAUCUUUCCACGCUAUAUGCGUGUAAUAAAGUAUUGGGGCUGUGAGCAGUUUGAUGCGUUACCAUUAGGUACCUUGUGCGCAUAUUUUGCCUUCUGGCCGCGUCAAAUUGCAGCCGGCAUGUGGAAUGGGCCGUGGCAUCUUAUAUGGAGCUGCUCAUACUGAACAUCCCACGUCUUGGUUUGGCUUCCUGGUACAGGAUACUUGCACUUAGCAUGGAGUGAUGAAGCAGAGCAGUGUACUUUUAUUAAAUGUGCAGAUUUUAGCAGUAUAACAGCAGUUCAUUAAAAAAACGUGUGCUGAAAAUAAAGUGUUCUUACCCACA